GAUCGGGCAUUAGCACCGGUCGGGAAGGGUCUGUUGCCCCGGUUCCCGAGCCGGUGCUGCCCUUCCGGGACUAAAGGCCCACCCUUUAGUCCCGGUUCUGGCAACCGGGGCUAAAGCCCCCCCUUUAACACCGGUUGGUAAUACCAACCGGUGUUAAAGGGUCCUGCCAGGGCUGCCACGUUGCAGGACCCUUUAACACCGGUUGGUAUCUUCGGUUCUGUUUAUUGUUUAUAUAUAAUAUAUAAUAAUAGGUUUUUCAAUACAUGUUUUGCUGAUACAAUAAUAUAUUUAUAUUACACGCAUAUUAAGCAUAUAUAAAUGAAAAUUAUAGGCUUAGCGGAAUAAUUAAGCUUUGCCUAUAAUAAAAUGAAUAGACCACAUCAAAAAUUAAAUAGAUAUGUAAAAAGCUUUAUAUAUAUAUAGUUUUAUAUGUACAAAAUUCGUAACACAUA
rnacentral:lncRNA from 1 species